rnacentral:rRNA from 1 species
GAACGAGAAAGGGGAGCAAUCCCUGAGUAAAGUGGCGACCGGGUGAGUAACACGCGACUACCUGCCCUUGAGUGGGGGAUAACUCCGGGAAACCGGGGCUAAUACCGCAUAACAUCGCAAGAUCAAAGGAGCAAUCCGCUUUUGGAGGGGGUCGCGGCUGAUUAGCUAGUUGGUAGGGUAAUGGCCUACCAAGGCAAAGAUCGGUAUCCGGCCUGAGAGGGCGCACGGACACACUGGAACUGAAACACGGUCCAGACUCCUACGGGAGGCAGCAGUGGGGAAUUUU